rnacentral:rRNA from 1 species
UACAGAGGUCUCAAGCGUUGUUCGGAUUCAUUGGGCGUAAAGGGCGCGUAGGCGGCGGGGUAAGUCGGGUGUGAAAUCUCAGAGCUCAACUCUGAAAUGGCACUUGAUACUGCUCUGCUAGAGGACUGGAGAGGAGAUUGGAAUUCACGGUGUAGCAGUGAAAUGCGUAGAUAUCGUGAGGAGGACCGGUGGCGAAGGCGGAUCUCUGGACAGUUCCUGACGCUGAGGCGCGAAGGCCAGGGGAGCAAACGGG